UCAAAAUAUUUGUAUGUUUUCGGGCCUAGCCUGUCAAAGAGGCGGUGAAAUGUCCUUUUCCCUUCAUAUCACAGCCACUUUGAUGUGGUCGGUUUACGGAGACCACUUAGCGUAUCGAG
rnacentral:pre_miRNA from 12 species